rnacentral:rRNA from 1 species
AUUGAACGCUGGCGGCAUGCUUUACACAUGCAAGUCGAACGGUAACAGGCCGCAAGGUGCUGACGAGUGGCGAACGGGUGAGUAAUGCAUCGGAACGUGCCCAGUCGUGGGGGAUAACGCAGCGAAAGCUGCGCUAAUACCGCCUACGAUCUAUGGAUGAAAGCGGGGGACCGUAAGGACUCGCGCGAUUGGAGCGGCCGAUGUCAGAUUAGGUAGGUGGUGGGGUAAAGGCCCACCAAGCCAACGAUCUGUAGCUGGUCUGAGAGGACGACCAGCCACACUGGGACUGAGACACGGCCCAGACUCCUACGGGAGGCAGCAGUGGGGAAUUUUGGACAAUGGGCGCAAGCCUGAUCCAGCAAUGCCGCGUGCAGGAAGAAGGCCUUCGGGUUGUAAACUGCUUUUGUACGGAACGAAAAGGCUCUGGAUAAUACCUGGGGCUCAUGACGGUACCGUAAGAAUAAGCACCGGCUAACUACGUGCCAGCCGCCGCCAUAACAC